rnacentral:rRNA from 1 species
AUGGCACUGCGACUGCUUGCGCAUGUGCGCACCCCCAUGACAACUAUUCCUCCUGAUCAUGUUUGGAUGUCUGGACAAGAUUGCCCAGCAUAUAAGACUAGUGUACUUCCCUACAAGACAAAGCUCAGGCCCCGAUGGCUUUACAGAAAAUUAUUCUUCAAGAGUUGCUGGGAUAUUAUUAAAGAUGACAUCAUGCUUGUGAUUAAUAGCUUCUUGAACCUCCAUGCGGUGAAGUUGCAAUGGCUCAACUCGGCAAAUAUUGCUCUCAUUCCUAACGACAUCUCCGAGGAAAUCUCUGACUUCAAUUAG